rnacentral:rRNA from 1 species
AGGAUGAACGCUGGCGGUCUGCUUAACACAUGCAAGUCGAACGGAGUACCUCGGUACUUAGUGGCGGACGGGUGAGUAACGCGUGAGAAUCUGCCCUUAGGUCGGGGACAACCAUUGGAAACGAUGGCUAAUACCGGAUAAGCCGAGAGGUAAAAGAUUAAUUGCCUAGGGAAGAGCUCGCGUCUGAUUAGCUAGUUGGUGAGGUAAAGGCUCACCAAGGCAUCGAUCAGUAGCUGGUCUGAGAGGAUGAUCAGCCACACUGGGACUGAGACACGGCCCAGACUCCUACGGGAGGCAGCAGUGGGGAAUUUUCCGCAAUGGGCGAAAGCCUGACGGAGCAAGAUCGCGUGAGGGAGGAAGGCUCUUGGGUUGUAAACCUCGUUUUCUUGGGGAAGAACAAAAUGACGGUACCCAAGGAAUCAGCAUCGGCUAACUCCGUGCCAGCAGCCGC